AAAAUAGAGGAGCCAUUUUUCUUUGGGGCUGCCGAAUUCAAGAGAAGGAGAGAGAGAGAGAGAGAGAGAGAGAGAGAGAGAGAGGAGAAACACGAAAUUCUAGAGAGAGAGGAAGAUAAAGAAGGAGAAGAGAAGAGGAAGAAGGGUUGGGUUUCGAAAAAAAACUCCUAGGGAAGUGAUCAAGGGUGGUGGCCAAAUUGAGUUUUGAUACUCUAUCAAAGGAGGUAGUUGAUCAAUAGGUAGCAAAUAGGGUUUCUCAUUGGCACACGUGGUGAUGUGGGGAGUUCCGACGUCAGGGUGUGUAUGGCGUGGGGUAUCCUAUGGGCGAACAAACAAUCAGCUUAAAACGUCAAAAUUUAAAGGACGAUGUUAUGUUUUUAUUUUGAUUUCCAAACUUGUCAGUGGAACAUGAACUAUAUUUAUUUUUAAAACGUUGCAUGAGACUUUUAUUUUAUUUUAAACUAUUGGGCCCAACUUGCAUGUUUUAGCAAGACCCCAAUGAAAUUUUUAUAUAAUAAGUAGGUUUUCUUCGAUAAGUUUAUGAGCAUGGAGAUGUUAUACAAAGUAUU